rnacentral:sRNA from 1 species
GCUUCGACCAAGGUUCGAUUCGAGCGUCAGCGAGAAAGCGUUGCCGCAGGCAACGACCCGAAGGGUAAGGAGCGCAGCGCUGAGUCAUCCUUCCUCCCUCAUCC